GGCACCCUGGUGGCGAGUGGCGAACGGGGGAGUAAACAUCGGAACGUGUCCUGUAGAGGGGGAUAGCCCGGCGAAAGCCGGAUUAAUACCGCAUACGAUCUGUGGAUGAAAGCGGGGGAUCUGACCUCGCGCUACAGGGGCGGCCGAUGGCAGAUUAUCUAUUUGGUGGGGUAAAGGCCUACCCCGGCGACAAUCUGUAGCUGGUCUGAGAGGACAACCAGCCACACUGGGACUGAGACACGGCCCACACUCCUACAGGAGGGAGCUUUGGGGAAUUUUGGACAAUGGGCGAAAGCCUGAUCCACCAAUGCCGCGUGUGUGAAGAAAGCCUUCUGGUUGU
rnacentral:rRNA from 1 species